GAAGUAAUGUGAAUUGCAGAAUUCAGUGAAUCAUCGAAUCUUUGAACGCAUCUUGCGCUCCUUGGUAUUCCGAGGAGCAUGCCUGUUUGAGUGUCG
rnacentral:rRNA from 1 species